rnacentral:rRNA from 1 species
CAGUAGCCUCGGGAAUACGUAGGGUGCAAGCGUUAAUCGGAAUUACUGGGCGUAAAGCGUGCGCACGCGGUUUGUUAAGACAGAUGUGAAAUCCCCGGGCUCAACCUGGGAACUGCAUUUGUGACUGGCAGGCUAGAGUAUGGCAGAGGGGGGUGGAAUUCCGCGUGUAGCAGUGAAAUGCGUAGAUAUGCGGAGGAACACCGAUGGCGAAGGCAGCCCCCUGGGCCAAUACUGACGCUCAUGCACGAAAGCGUGGGGAGCAAACAGGAUUAGAUACCCGCGUAGUCCCUGUCUCUUAUAC